UAUAAACUUUUUUUAACUUUUAAGUCCUGCUUGUUUCCAGAUUCUCUCAGGUUGCACGCGCCGCCGCGAAAAUCCAAAAAUCGGCGAACGUUGAGAAGGAGAAAUCUGAGAGAUGCAAGGAGGAAUGUGGAGCCAACUAUGGAGGAAAUACGCGGAUUAUAAGUACAACAAGUUCGAGAGAUUUGCUGUCUGGGAAAUGAUUGAACCGUACCGUCGACCCAAAACCUUCACAACUUUGAUUACUAUCUAUGUCGCCGCCUUUUACACCGGCGUCAUCGGCGCUGCGAUUACAGAGCAGAUUUACAAGGAGAAAUUUUGGGAAGAGCAUCCAGGGAAAACGGUGCCUCUGAUGAAGCCAAUAUUCUAUCGAGGACCAUGGAGAGUUUAUCGUGGUGAGGCUAUUGCCUCAGAUGCUAGCAGCCAGUGAAGAUAACGAUUAGGCUAUCAGAGACUAUGGUCAAGGAUGUAUCUCCGAGUUUGAUGCGCAGCUUUAAAUGGAUUUAUGGUCCUUCACUGGUUUAUGUGGAUUUAAGCUUGCUGGUAUACUGUCCUUGUAGACAAUAAGGUCUACUGACUCUUUUAAGGUUUGUGAUUCUCCAAGUUACAAGUAAUGACAGUCUCGUUAUAGCAUCAAAGUUUUCCUGUGAGAAGUUUAAGGGUCUCUAUCCAUUCCUUUGAAUAUCUCUCCUUUCCAUUAGUAGUACAUCGUGGAAGUCCUCUCUUCUUUUUUCCUUAAAUAAAACAUUCCCGUGUACGAAAGAUGGCCAUGCUGUUCAAGUAGAGCUUCACGUUCUAGCAGAGACAACAAACACACUUACGAGCCGACAGAUUGUACAUGGGAAGUUUGACAUGGAUAGAGAGGUUUGGAGUCUCAUAGAGAUAUAGGAAAGAAACA